rnacentral:ncRNA from 1 species
GCAAUCGACACGGGGUGUCGCCGCCGGCGACUGAGACCACACCCGUUGAACCUGAUGCAGAUCAUGCUGACGAAGGGAUGUCAUGGACGAGUUUU